ACACUAGUGAUCAUCAUGAUAUCUUACAUGUUAUUUAUUUCAGGACUAUGCCAGGAUGUGGUGAUUGCUGCAGGUUCUACCCUACAGUGGCUGAAGGUUGUUGCUGUUGCUGUUCCUUUCUACCGAUGCUCCAACUAUGGCUUUGUGGCUUUAUCAUUUUCAAGAUCAAAUUGAUGUCUUGUUUGCUGGACACCGUAUCUGUUAUUUUGUUUGGUUCAUGCUUUCUUCUAAAGAGUCAUGUACUGUUUAAUUGUCAAUGUCAUGGUGCUAAGUAUUAUGUUUGGAUAUAGUCAAUGCUGAAGAGUUGGUAUGGUCUAUGAAACAUAUGUUUGUUGUUUCUUAUGAA